rnacentral:lncRNA from 1 species
AUGGAAAGGAAAGUUCUUGCACUCCAGGCGAGGAAGAAAAGGACAAAGGCGAAAAAACCCGGCAAAAAAGCAUCCCAAGCAGAGCCGUUGCUAUGGAUACUCGGACUAAGCUGCCAAGAUCAGAGCUCAUGCCGCGUGCGCUUCAUGCAGGGAGCAAGUGACAGACAGAGAGGACCGGCUAAUGGAUUUACUAAUGGAGUAAGUUAUUUUGGGCCGGGCCUUCAUUUUGGCAGACUCAAUCAGACCUGGGUAAUGUAGGGCCUGAACGUUGCGGCCUGGCCUCGGGCUUAACAUGAAUGCCAACAAAUAGUGAAAUGACAGCUGUUAGUGUAUCUUGCUAACCUUAUCUUGCUAGCUAAUGUUAUCUGUUGCAGAUUUUUUUUGAACUACACCAUUCUCAAAAGAGUAGCCAGCUGGCUAAUAGUUCUGGAGUUGG